rnacentral:rRNA from 1 species
AAACCAACAGGGAUUGCCUCAGUAACGGCGAGUGAAGCGGCAAGAGCUCAAAUUUGAAAGCUGGCCCCCUCGGGGUCCGCGUUGUAAUUUGCAGAGGAUGCUUCGGGUGCAGCCCCCGUCUAAGUGCCCUGGAACGGGCCGUCAUAGAGGGUGAGAAUCCCGUCUGGGACGGGGUGUCUGCGUCCGUGUGAAGCUCCUUCGACGAGUCGAGUUGUUUGGGAAUGCAGCUCUAAAUGGGUGGUAAAUUUCAUCUAAAGCUAAAUACUGGCCGGAGACCGAUAGCGCACAAGUAGAGUGAUCGAAAGAUGAAAAGCACUUUGAAAAGAGAGUUAAACAGCACGUGAAAUUGUUGAAAGGGAAGCGUUUGCGACCAGACUCGCCCGCGGGGUUCAGCCGGCAUUCGUGCCGGUGUACUUCCCCGUGGGCGGGCCAGCGUCGGUUUGGGCGGCCGGUCAAAGGCCCUCGGAAUGUAUCACCCUUCGGGGUGUCUUAUAGCCGAGGGUGCAAUGCGGCCUGCCCGGACCGAGGAACGCGCUUCGGCUCGGACGCUGGCGUAAUGGUCGUAAAUGACC